GUGUCAGCAGCCGCGGUAAUACGAAGGGGGCUAGCGUUGCUCGGAAUUACUGGGCGUAAAGGGAGCGUAGGCGGACAUUUAAGUCAGGGGUGAAAUCCCAGAGCUCAACUCUGGAACUGCCUUUGAUACUGGGUGUCUUGAGUGUGAUAGAGGUAUGUGGAACUCCGAGUGUAGAGGUGAAAUUCGUAGAUAUUCGGAAGAACACCAGUGGCGAAGGCGACAUACUGGAUCAUUACUGACGCUGAGGCUCGAAAGCGUGGGGAGCAAACAGGAUUAGAUACCCUGGUAGUCC
rnacentral:rRNA from 1 species